CCUACGGGAGGCAGCAGUGGGGAAUAUUGCGCAAUGGGCGAAAGCCUGACGCAGCGACGCCGCGUGAGGGAUGAAGGUCUUCGGAUCGUAAACCUCUGUCAGCAGGGAAGAACGGUCACUGUGCUAAUCAGCAGUGAAUUGACGGUACCUGCAAAGGAAGCACCGGCUAACUCCGUGCCAGCAGCCGCGGUAAUACGGAGGGUGCGAGCGUUAUUCGGAAUUACUGGGCGUAAAGCGCUCGUAGGCGGUAUGUCAAGUCAAGGGUGAAAUCCCCGGGCUCAACGUGGGAACUGCCUUUGAAACUGGCAGACUGGAGUGUGUGAGAGGAGAGUGGAAUUCCAGGUGUAGGAGUGAAAUCCGUAGAUAUCUGGAGGAACAUCAGUGGCGAAGGCGACUAUCUGGCACAUAACUGACGCUGAGGAGCGAAAGCGUGGGUAGCAAACAGGAUUAGAUACCCUAGUAGUC
rnacentral:rRNA from 1 species